GAGACAGCAGCCGCCGCGGUAAUACGUAGGGUGCAAGCGUUAAUCGGAAUUACUGGGCGUAAAGCGUGCGCAGGCGGUCCGCUAAGACAAAUGUGAAAUCCCCGGGCUUAACCUGGGAACUGCAUUUGUGACUGGCGGGCUAGAGUAUGGCAGAGGGGGGCAGAAUUCCACGUGUAGCAGUGAAAUGCGUAGAGAUGUGGAGGAAUACCGAUGGCGAAGGCAGCCCCCUGGGCCAAUACUGACGCUCAUGCACGAAAGCGUGGGGAGCAAACAGGAUUAGAUACCCCCGUAGUCCCUGUCUCUUAUAC
rnacentral:rRNA from 1 species